GAACUUGGAUGUUCCUGUUGGCUCUAUGGAUUAUGGCAGGAAAAGUGAAAUGGGUCACUGAUAUCGAGAAGUCAGUGCUGAUAAAUAACUUUGAAAAGAGAGGAUGGGUCCAAGUGACAGAAAAUGAAGAUUGGAAUUUUUACUGGAUGAGUGUGCAAACCAUCCGAAACGUUUUUAGUGUUGAAACUGGCUAUCGGCUCUCAGAUGAUCAAAUAGUCAACCAUUUUCCGAACCACUAUGAACUGACCCGGAAGGAUCUGAUGGUGAAGAAUAUUAAAAGAUAUAGGAAGGAGCUGGAAAAGGAGGGGAGUCCUCUAGCAGAAAAAGACGAAAAUGGGAAAUACCUCUAUCUGGACUUUGUUCCAGUCACCUACAUGCUGCCCGCCGACUACAACCUGUUCGUGGAGGAGUUCAGGAAAAGCCCCUCCAGCACCUGGAUCAUGAAACCUUGUGGCAAAGCCCAGGGGAAGGGCAUCUUUCUGAUCAACAAGCUCUCACAGAUCAAAAAGUGGUCCCGUGACAGCAAAACGUCUUCGUUUGUGACUCAGUCUACUAAGGAAGCCUACGUGAUCUCUCUCUACAUUAACAACCCGUUGCUAAUCGGUGGGAGGAAGUUUGACCUGCGCUUGUAUGUUCUGGUGUCAACCUACCGCCCGCUGCGCUGUUACAUGUAUAAACUUGGAUUUUGCCGUUUCUGCACAGUGAAGUACACCCCAAGCACCAGUGAGCUGGACAACAUGUUUGUUCACCUUACCAACGUCGCCAUUCAGAAACAUGGGGAAGACUACAACCACAUCCAUGGAGGCAAGUGGACCGUGAGCAACCUGCGGCUCUACCUGGAGAGCACCAGAGGCAAGGAGGUGACCAGCAAGCUGUUUGACGAGAUCCACUGGAUCAUCGUGCAGUCGCUGAAGGCUGUGGCGCCGGUGAUGAACAACGACAAACACUGCUUCGAGUGCUAUGGGUACGAUAUCAUCAUCGACGACAAGCUGAAGCCCUGGCUGAUCGAGGUGAACGCGUCCCCAUCUCUUACCUCCAGCACUGCCAACGACCGAAUCCUUAAGUAUAACCUGAUCAACGACACCCUCAAUAUUGCCGUUCCUAAUGGCGAGAUUCCGGACUGUAAAUGGAACAAGUCACCCCCGAAGGAAGUUCUCGGCAAUUACGAAAUUCUCUACGAUGAGGAGCUGGCGCAAGGUGACGGGGCCGACAGAGAGCUGAGAAGUCGUCAGGGCCAGUCGCUGGGGCCCAAAGGGGGCCGAUCAAGAGACUCGGGGAGAACUGUCCUCACAACCUGGAAGUGACCACCAGGCCGGAAGAACUGGUUCACAAAUGUACGAAACUAGCUCUUUCCGCAGAGAAUAACAGCCUCAGCGUGUGACGUAGGUUAUUACGAGGUGUUCACCUUUUAAAACACGAUUGCGCCGACUUAAAAACGAAACCUGAAGAUCUUACAGAGUCACACUGCUGUGGGAAAACGAGGUAUCUCACCUGACAGCCGUUGUGGCGCCGUCCCCUUUCCCUGGACAACGACUCUGAGGAAGACCGGCAACUGGAAAUGUUUGUCGGGAACUGGUCUUUACAGAGGCCUCUGUGUCGGUGCUGCCAAAAGAGACCAGCCUCUGUUCCAUGACGUCGCUUUUGUAGCUGGGUCUGUCAGAUGAGCCCAGACAGUUCCCGCCGUGUGGCUCAUCUGACGUCAGCAUCUGGGUUUGCUGCAGACCAGAGGUAAGCGUCGUUGGCAGCCGGCAGCCGGGCCCAGCUCCUGGGGUGGGGGGGUGUUGACGUGCAGCCGCCCUGGACACUGAGUGACCUACAGGAAUAUUGGGAAGCCCUGAGUCAGUUGGGGAGAGUGACUGAGCAACCACAACCCCUGAGAGGCGGGCUACUUUUAGUAAUAGCUUUUUCCUGAUGGUCAUACUUGACGCUACUGUUCACUGAUGCUUCAGUCACUGUCUUUUUUUUUUUUUUAAGAUGUUAUUUGUUCAUGAGAGACACAGAGAGGCAGAGACACAGGCAGAGGGAGAAGCAGGCUCCAUGCGAGGAGCACGAUGUAGGACUUGAUCCCGGGACUCCGGGAUCACACCCUGGGCCGAAGGCAGGUGCUCAACCGCUGAGCACCCAGGUGUCCCUAGAUCGCUCCGUCCUAAUGACCUGAUCUGUGCAGCCCUUGAUUUUAGGUCCAGUGUUGAUGGCGGGUGUGGCCCUGAGUUUGAGUCAGACCUGGGCUGGAGGCCUGGCUUUGCCAUUUAUUUGUGUGUCUCAAGGCCUGUCCAGUGGAUCUUUGGAUUCAUUAUAUCUGCCUCAGAAAGAGCCAGUGCCACGGCACCGGGUCCGGCCUGCCCCGCUGGCACCAGGGCUCGCCUGCGUCGUCUUACCCAGGAGGGCAGAACCCACGUGGUCGAUGGCCUCCACCCCUGGCUUCUGCACACAGCUUUUCCACCCACUGCUUCCUACAUCCCAGUGUCUCAGUCCUGUUGCUUUAGUUUGGUUCUCAGUGUCUCAGUGUCUCUGGGAGAAGGGUGGAGUCCCCAAUUGGGAAUUCCUUGUUGACCUCAGUCAGAGCACGAAGGGCAACUCCAUUGUCAGGAGUGAGGUGUUCCGUUUGCCGAUGAGCGGGUUGCUAGGUGAGAGCCAGCGUCUGCUAAAUAGAUUUCUGUCAAAUAUUGACUGUUACAUUAGUGAUGUCAUGUUCUGGGGCAGAUGUUUCCUCUGAACGCUUCCAGAACACACAUGAGUGGGAAGAGUGCGAUGGCCGAAGCAGGCCAUGGAAAUUCGUGGAUUAUAAACGCUGUUCGUCACUGGGCCCAGGGCUCCAGAGCAAAUUCGUCAUUUGCCUGCUUGCCAGGGUGGACCCUAAAUCUAAUGACUGGCGUCCUUAUCAGAGGAGAGACACACAGACACACAGGCCAUGUGAAGAUGAAGACAGAGGCAAGGGGUGACGCAGUCACUAGCUACAGAGCGCCAAGCAAGCUGGCAGCCACCAGAAGCUGGAAGAGAGGAAAGAACACUCCCCCAGAAUCCUCCCUCAGGAGGAACCUACCCUGAAAGCACUGUGAUCUCGGACCCUGGCCUCCAAAACUGGGAGAGAAUAAAUUUCUGCUGUUUCAGGCCA